rnacentral:rRNA from 1 species
AGCGUCGACUGUCAGGGAACGAGCGAGACCCCUGCGUCAGGUUGCUACCAUUACUCUCUGGAAAGUGGAGCGAAUUACACGGACCGCCACUUUUUAUGUGGAAGGAAGGAAGGGGCCACGAUUGGGAAAAAAUGCCCCGAAACCCCUGGGGCUACACGCGGGCUGCAAUGGUAUUGACAAUGUGUUCCGAACCCGAAAGGAGGAGGCAAUCAUCAAAAAAUAUCUCAGUUAUGACUGAGGGCUGUCACCUCGCCCUCACAAAUAUGGAAUCCCUAGUAACCGGGGCGUCACUACCGCGCGGUGAAUACGUCCCUGCUCCUUGCAGGAAUUCCCCG